UACGUAGGGGGCUAGCGUUGUCCGGAUUUAUUGGGCGUAAAGAGCGUGUAGGCGGCCAGGUAGGUCCGGUGUGAAAACUCGAGGCUUAACCUCGAGAUGUCAUCGGAAACCAUCUGGCUAGAGUCCGGAAGAGGAAGUGGAUACUCGUGGUAGCGGUGAAAUGCGCAGAUAUCAGGAAGAACACCAAUGGCGAAAGCAGCUUUCUGGGACGGUACUGACGCUGAGACGCGAAAGCGUGGGGAGCGAACAGG
rnacentral:rRNA from 1 species